CUUUUACUCCCUUCGUUUGGAAAUACUUGUCAUUGAAAUGGAUGUAUCUAGAUGUAUUUUAGUUCUAGACACAUCCAUUUUGAUGACAAGUAAUUCCGGACGGAGGGAGUACUUG
rnacentral:pre_miRNA from 1 species